ACCAUGGAUGAAAAUUGUUUUAGAAGGGAUUAUAGUUUAUAAUUAAUAAUGGUUUUGCCAUUCCAACAAAGUAACAACUAUUGACCGAGUAUUUAUUUUUUGACGUGGGCUUGACCUUCUGAUAAAAGUUUGAUGUCAUCCUCAUUUUGAAAUAAACAUAUGUAGGCCUAAUAACGAUCAAUGAAAGUAAUAUUUUAAUGCAGCGUUAUUAGAAUGUUCAACAGUUUACAAUGAAAAGUAAAAGUGUUUGUGCAUUUGGAUUUUGUUUACGUAGUUUCUUUGGAUCUGAGGGCGAGAGGAAAUCCUGAGGCACUUUAAAUAGGCCUAGCCUAAAGCUGAGAGGAAUCAAAAGCAUUUUCAGUAUCAGCGUGGAUAUGUACAACCUCCGGAGUGAUCUUUGACUUCCACUCUAAUAAAGACGUCGGUGAGAUAGUGAGCUUGAGAACUCGGGAUUUCCCAGUAAGCAGACAGAGUUGUCACAGACGCCUGGUAAUCAAUGUCCUCCUGACAUCGUUUACGAUUGUCCUAAAAUUACAUUAUAUACAUGUAUCUAAACAUGCAGAUAUCGGUAAUCACACUGAAAUAGGACUUUGAAUAUCAAUGUUCCAGAUUGUUUGUGUUAAUAGAUACAUCUCAACUUACCAUAUCGUGAUGAGUGAACACAGUCACAUUGUUGUCGACUGAAACAAGAAAUAUUUCAUACCGGUAAAUCUAUUGCAACGAACCACUGAUGCGUUCACAAUUCCACUGAUUUGUCAUCUAUAGCUUACCAGCCAUGGUACAGUUGGACCCAUCAUAGACAGUGAUGGUGGUUAACGCUGUAUUUUCCAGUACAACUGUCACUCCAUCCGACGUCACGGUCACGUCUUGGUACGCCGUGGAGGCUGUUAUACUCACGUAGUAUGUCUGAGCAGAAAAAUCAAAGACGGACUGUUUUUAUCUUGCCAUUUACCGAGGCUUUUGGUUAUAACCCUUUCAAGCCAUACUAAUUCUCUUGAAAUUUGCCAAAAAACGUAAGAUAAUGCCGCAUGGCAUAUAUCACCUCUGAAUGAAAGCAAUAAAGUGAAGGAUUGACUUCAAAUCUAACAGGAGAUAAAAGGAAGAAAAAGGUGGAGGACGCUUAAAAUCAUGAAAAAAGAUAAACACAUUUUCAGCAACGUAGAUACCUAGUUGUUUGCAUUCACGAUAGCAAAUAAAUGAUUGAUUGAUUGAUUGAUUGAAUGUUGUUUAACGUCCCUCUCGAGAAUAUUUCACUCAUAUGGAGACGUCACCAUUGCCAGUGAAGGGGGCUGCAACAUUUAGGGCUAUGCUCGGCGCUUAUGGCCUUUGAGCAGGGAGGGAUAUUUAUCGUGACACACCUGCUGUGGCAUGGUACCUCGUUUUUUGCGGUCUCAUCCGAAGGACCGCCCCAUUUAGUCGCCUUUUACGACAAGCAAGGAGUAAUGAGGACCUAUUCUAACCCGGAUCCCUACGAAUGAAGUACUCGUAAUUCUUACCGAUGUGGCACUGGAGAGAACUGGGGUUAAUUCUGAAGGGGCACUUGAUGCACUGGCACAGACCUCCUCACCGUCAACUUCCACAGUGUUCCCAUCCGCAUCUCUCUCAAUAGGAAUCAAAUCCAGGCUUGCAAUAGCCGUGGCUUUAGAGCUUUUAAAAAUAAAUCACUUCUCUCAAGAAACUGUCUAAGAGUAACCUCAUUCUAAACACAAACUUGAGUGAUAUGGAAUUUGAAAUUGCAUUAAUACCUGCAGCUUGUGGUAUUGUAAAUUUUCUUCCUGGUUCUUUCCUCAGAAACAAUCCAAAUUUCCCCAGAAUUCUGCACUAGACCGCCUUUAAUUCUGGAGUUACUGAUCGACAAUUCCUUGAUAGAAGACUCGCUUGAGUCUAUCGUAACACCGUCAGAACACGCCGGUUCAGAGGCUUGAAAUGCUGCGUUAUAUGCAACAACUGUUAUAUGAUACGUAUUUUCCGAUGUCAUCGUUAUGCUUGCGUCAGUAGAUGUUGUGGUUUUAACCUGAAAUUGAAAGCAAAGAUUUCCCUAACCAUGGUAGGUAUAGUGAGAAUUGAUAAGAUUCAGUGAGGAAAUUAUGAAUAUCGUUACUGUUGUGCUACUGUUGGAAGUCAGGGAAAAGUUUGCUGACGUCAGACAUUCCGUGGAAAAUCCAUACUGGUAGAAACGGACACCGCUUUCUCUGUCAAAGAACCCCGACCAAUGAGCUUGGAGUGUCAUCCCUUGUUGAUAAUCAACCUCUUUCUGACCAACAGAACCGUCCAUAACAAACCCAGCAUGAGGUGGAGAUGUAUCAAUACUGAUCUAUUACCAAGAAUAAAGGACAGAAAACAUUGAGUAGUUUGUAGCUGAGCCUUGUUGGUAGCCACCACCUCUAUGAAAUAAUCUGCAUCAUGGACACCCCGAAGACCGUUGCUAGGUACAGUAGGCGUGACGACAAAAUGUUUGUGAAAGCAGCCGACAAAUGUUGUGCAGUAACAGUUUACUCCACGUGAGGCAUUCUGUGUGUCCCAUCGAAACCGGUAGAGCAAUUACAGUUGGUGGCAAGUUCAUCUUUACAGGUUCCGGGAUAGCACCUCGUACUGUCGCUUCUCCAGGAACAGGCCACUGAAAAGGGGGACAGUUGUAAUUAAAUGUAGAUAUCCAUGACAAUCACAUUGAUACCCCUUCCCAAUACGAACCAAUCAAACAAAACAUUCAUCUCACCUUGACAUGACUGGCCAUCGUCGGCAGCCGGGGUCAGCGCUCUGCCGUACACUUGAUUAACAACCGUACCCUCACACUGAACACAUUUGGCAUAGGUUCCAUUCGAACACUCCGUAUGCUCGCAUUUUGUUAUCUCGGCACAAACUGUAAGAAAUAUCAAAUUACUGUAUGACGAUCUGAACAAAUUCCUCUCAUUGAUUGUAUAUAUAGGGUAUGAUUCUAAACAUUUAACAUAAGUUUAAGGUACUCCUCCAUGAAAAAUUGUCUUCGAUAUAUACCACAUAUGAAAAUGAAGAAAAUGUAUGCUUUAGUACUGUACAGAUAUUUCUAUAUUUGAUAGCGCUUCUCACUUUUGCACUU